rnacentral:rRNA from 1 species
GAUGAACGCUGGCGGCGUGCCUAAUACAUGCAAGUCGAGCGAACAGACGAGGAGCUUGCUCCUCUGACGUUAGCGGCGGACGGGUGAGUAACACGUGGAUAACCUACCUAUAAGACUGGGAUAACUUCGGGAAACCGGAGCUAAUACCGGAUAAUAUAUUGAACCGCAUGGUUCAAUAGUGAAAGACGGUUUUGCUGUCACUUAUAGAUGGAUCCGCGCCGCAUUAGCUAGUUGGUAAGGUAACGGCUUACCAAGGCAACGAUGCGUAGCCGACCUGAGAGGGUGAUCGGCCACACUGGAACUGAGACACGGUCCAGACUCUUACGGGAGGCAGCAGUAGGGUAUCUUCCGCAAUGGGCGAAAGCCUGACGGAGCAACGCCGCGUGAGUGAUGAAGGUCUUCGGAUCGUAAAACUCUGUUAUUAGGGAAGAACAAAUGUGUAAGUAACUAUGCACGUCUUGACGGUACCUAAUCAGAAAGCCACGGCUAACUACGUG